rnacentral:rRNA from 1 species
GAUGAACGCUGGCGGCGUGCCUAAUACAUGCAAGUCGAGCGAACAGACGAGGAGCUUGCUCCUCUGACGUUAGCGGCGGACGGGUGAGUAACACGUGGAUAACCUACCUAUAAGACUUGGAUAACUUCGGGAAACCGGAGCUAAUACCGGAUAAUAUAUUGAACCGCAUGGUUCAAUAGUGAAAGACGGUUUUGCUGUCACUUAUAGAUGGAUCCGCGCCGCAUUAGCUAGUUGGUAAGGUAACGGCUUACCAAGGCAACGAUGCGUAGCCGACCUGAGAGGAUGAUCGGCCACACUGGAACUGAGACACGGUCCAGACUCCUACGGGAGGCAGCAGUAGGGAAUCUUCCGCAAAGGGCGAAAGCCUGACGGAGCAACGCCGCGUGAGUGAUGAAGGUCUUCGGAUCGUAAAACUCUGUUAUUAGGGAAGAACAAAUGUGUAAGUAACUAUGCACGUCUUGACGGUACCUAAUCAGAAAGCCACGGCUAACUACGUG